AUUGAACGCUGGCGGCAUGCCUUACACAUGCAAGUCGAACGGUAACGCGGGGCAACCUGGCGACGAGUGGCGAACGGGUGAGUAAUGCAUCGGAACGUGCCUGGUAGUGGGGGAUAACUGCUCGAAAGAGCAGCUAAUACCGCAUAUGACCUGAGGGUGAAAGGGGGGGAUCGCAAGACCUCUCGCUAUCAGAGCGGCCGAUGUCGGAUUAGCUAGUUGGUGGGGUAAAGGCCCACCAAGGCAACGAUCCGUAGCUGGUCUGAGAGGACGACCAGCCACACUGGGACUGAGACACGGCCCAGACUCCUACGGGAGGCAGCAGUGGGGAAUUUUGGACAAUGGGCGCAAGCCUGAUCCAGCAAUGCCGCGUGCAGGAAGAAGGCCUUCGGGUUGUAAACUGCUUUUGUCAGGGAAGAAAUCUUCUGGGUUAAUACCCCGGGAGGAUGACGGUACCUGAAGAAUAAGCACCGGCUAACUACGUGCCAGCAGCCGCCGCGGUAA
rnacentral:rRNA from 1 species